rnacentral:lncRNA from 1 species
UUAAAAAAACUUAUAUUUAGGAACUAGGAGAGUAUGACUUAAAUGCAUCAGCCACACAACUGCUUCUCGAUGGCCUGUGGAGCUUCAAUGGCAUCAAUCGAUAUAUGUCAAGGAGCAGCUGCUCCAGCGGAUGUAGCCAACAAACAGCUUGUUGACACACUGCACGAACAGUCCUUAUACUACGCCACGACUACAUGCAGCAAAAACACUCCGCAGCGAGCCGCGGCACGAAGAAGGCAUAGCCGCCACUGCAAGCCCUCAGAUGCUACCAACCGUGGUGACCGGUCACCUCACUCAACAUGAUGCCCUACUCCUCCAGCCAGCAGCGAGCCCUCGCCAGCGCUGCGUGUGGUGGUCGUCCGCUGCAGCGAGCCCUUGCCAGCCCCGCGUGUGGUGCUCGACCGCCGCAGAGAGCCUCCGCCGAUGCAGACCAUGGUAGACGACCGCCGCCCGAUCUCAUCUAGCUGGAUCUUCCUGCUUCUGUUGCCGCUGGUCGAGAGCCGUGACGGGAGGGAAGGGGAUGGGGAGAGG